rnacentral:misc_RNA from 1 species
AGAGAGAGAGAGAGAGAGAGAGAGCAAUAAGAAGAGUCGAAUCUCACCUCAUCCACUUGAGGUUCAGACAAGGAGGGGCCUGUACCCAACUUGCACUUGCCACAAAUUAGGACCUUCAUCAAUUCUGCCUACGUUGGCGGAAAUGUCUGAGAAUAAAGCUGUCUGCAUACAGUGGAUAGUUCUUCCUGAUCAGGCCCUUAAUGCACUUCCAAUAAGAAAAGUCAACCAAUUGUCCAUCUUCUCGGACUAUGAACAAACAUCUUGAGGUUUCAUAAUCAGGAUGCAGCCCAACUGUAAUAUAAUCAAUUCCACAUCCAAUCUUCUUUUUACACUCUGGAUGAUAUGGAAGCAAUCUCUCAACAACGGUUCUCUCAUGCUCUGGACUUAAUCUAUCUCCAUUUUCGUAUUUGCCAGAAUGAAGAAUCAUUCUAACAAAGCCAACAAGCGGAACAGUGUCCUCCAAAAUCUGGUCCUCCCAAUCGACCCAUUCCUCAUCUUCCUUCUCCUCGUAAUUUCUCUUCCCGUCACUGUCCUCCUCAUCUUCAGAAAUUCCACCACCCAUGUCCUUCCGCGGAGGGACAAUCGGUUUCCUGAGCCCGUCGGAUCCAGUCUUUAGCGCAGAAACACGGGGAUUAAGCGACGCCGUUAGGUGAAAAGGGAAAGAUAAGAUCAUGGGAGAGGUAUAGAAAGAGAUAGGAUUGGAGUGGCCAUACAAGCAUGCGGGAAUUGGUGGGUUAGAUAAGGAAGCCAUGUUCAUGCUCUAUCUCUGUGCUGUAAGGUACUUGGUUACCGGAGUUGCGAUUUGCUACUUCAGUUUUCAGUUCUCAAGCGUCAUUUGGGUAUGGUCCGUAUGAACCAGGGAGGGGCGGGGAAGAAGUUCUAAGGAGGUUAACGGUCGCGUUAAAGAGUAAAGACCGUUCAGCGCUCUGG